rnacentral:rRNA from 1 species
AUUGAACGCUGGCGGCAGGCUUAACACAUGCAAGUCGAGCGGGGUGAUGGUGCUUGCACUAUCACUUAGCGGCGGACGGGUGAGUAAUGCUUAGGAAUCUGCCUAUUAGGGGGGGACAACAUCUCGAAAGGGAUGCUAAUACCGCAUACGUCCUACGGGAGAAAGCAGGGGAUCACUUGUGACCUUGCGCUAAUAGAUGAGCCUAAGUCGGAUUAGCUAGUUGGUGGGGUAAAGGCCUACCAAGGCGACGAUCUGUAGCGGGUCUGAGGGGAUGAUCCGCCACACUGGGACUGAGACACGGCCUAGACUCCUACGGGAGGCAGCAGUGGGGAAUAUUGGACAAUGGGGGGAACCCUGAUCCAGCCAUGCCGCGUGUGUGAAGAAGGCCUUAUGGUUGUAAAGCACUUUAAGCGAGGAGGAGGCUCUUUUGGUUAAUACCCAAGAUGAGUGGACGUUACUCGCAGAAUAAGCACCGGCUAACUCUGUGCCAGCCGCCGCGGUAA